UCCAGGGCCUGGUUCAAUGAAUGCUUAUUGAAAUGAACUUUUCUAGAACCUCUCAGCAAGAGAAUACCCUGGGAGCAAAGAUCCCAUAGGGGUAGAAUGGAAAUCACUGAGAUAGAACGAUUGCUAUGUGAAACCACCUCGCUCGCUCGUUUCGUCUCCGUCUCACCUGCUGCGGUCUAACUGCCGUGAACGUGAAGACAUUAGCCACCUUGCUCCGCGCUUUUCCCCAGAACCUACGAGAGCAUCAAGUACCGCCAGACGCAAAGUCGGUCCCCGUGAGUAGUUACGUGAAGGACCACGAACGCCCCAGCAAGACUUUCCUUGCAGCCCGGAGCUUCAACAUGUCCUUCUGUCUCUUGCCUACUGGCUAUGACCUGCCUUCCUGGGGUCCGUUCACAAGGAAGAGCGUGAAUAAACCAACCUCAUCAGGGUC